UGUUUCCUUGCAGAUGUGUAGAGUUCAUUGCAAAGGAAGGUCGAAGUCUGAAAGAGCUGUACCUCGUUUCUUGUAGAAUCACAGAUUAUGCUUUGAUAGCGAUUGGACAGUACAGUGUGACUAUUGAAACAGUAGACGUUGGCUGGUGUAAAGAGAUAACAGAUCAAGGAGCAAUGCAGAUCUCAAAGACUAGCAAAUCGCUCCGAUACUUGGGCCUUAUGCGGUGUGAUAAGGUGAAUGAAGAAACAGUGGAACAGCUUGUCCAACAGUAUCCACAUAUCACAUUCAGUACAGUAAUGCAAGAUUGCAAGAGAACCCUGGAGCGGGCCUAUCAAAUGGGCUGGACACCAUCCACAUCUGCAUCAUAGCAUUCAGCAUGAGAUGAACAAUACGUUAUGUGGAUUCCACAGAGAAAAGAGUGUGUUCUUUUAGGGUUUGUCUUGUAUGCCCCCCAUUUCUAGUAGUUGAUGAACUUAAAAUACAAAGAUAUUUUCUAAAACUGAUUCCUUUUAAAAGUUACCUGAGAAGUACAGGUCGAUGGUUCUAAUGUAGUUCAGCUGAAGAUAUUUCAUGAGAAGAUCUUUCUUCAUGUCAAAACUGUCCUAAUCCAUGCAUAGCAUCUGAUCUGAUCACAUUUGAUAAAUUUCUGAGCAGAAUCUGCAUGUCCCAAAGACAUUGAAAAAAGCUUGCAGAUUUUAACAGUAUGACAGUAUCACAUAUGCAUUUUUAAACAAAUUGUGCUACAGCAUGUAGGUGAAAACACUAACUGAAAAUACUGAUGAAGAGCAUUUAUUUUUGUCUUUUAAUGGACGCUCCCUGUCUGCUCGUACAGAAAUUGUGUAUUUAUUUUUUGAGCUUUGUUGGAUUUUUUUUUUUUAUCUUGCUGUGAGAAAAUGAUCAUAUGAGCCUUUCUCUGUACAUUCAUUUUCCUCUGCACUUUUACAUUGUGCAGCUUUAAAGUGAGAAGUGUAUGCAUUUGUGCCCAUUUUAUUUGUGGAAAGUAGUGAUAGUGACAGAAUAGAAUGCAUUUUUGUACCAUGCAGACCCUUUUCACUCAUCUGUAAGUAUCUGCCCUGCUGAUGGAGGUUCCUCUCAGAUAACAUUGUUUCGAUUUAGCCAAAAUUAGCCUGCAGGAUAGAAAAAUUUUCAUUAUGUGUGACACCCCCUGGAGGAUAUAGGCUUAGAUUGCUGUGAUUUCUGCCAUCCUUGAUGUUUUGUGCAUAUUUACACUGUUGUCUGUAAGCGACCCCUUAGCUAUUAAUUUAGUUAUAGCCAUCCACAGGAAAUAAAUGGGUCAAAGGGUAUGGACGAGAUUCAUACCUCGUAGCCUCUUAACACAAGGAAUCUAUACAAAGUCAAAAAUAAUGGGGAGGCAGAGGCAACAAAAUAGGAACAAAUUUUAAACAUUGCUGUUAUAAACUUGCUAGAAUAAAAGUUCUUUUGCUACCAUUCAUUUUCUGCAGAUAUAAAGUCUGAAACUCAAAUACUUGUCAUUAUUUAGUGAAUUCAGUCCUCACUGGCCAGGAAACCACAAAUUUUAUGAGGACCAGACCAAAAAACUAUGAGGUGAAAAUUUGGACUGUUGAGAAGUAUGAAGAGACUUGAGGGUGAAAGUAGGGAGAGCUUAAAAAACAAAUCUCUGUUUUUUCUCGGUUUUCACCUGUUCUUUGUAUUGCUAGUUAUGAACACUUACACACUUUAACACUAGCCAUCACUCCUGUGGAAUCACAGUCAUAUUGUUUAUUAGCAACAAAGUAUAUUUGUGUAGUUAUGAUCUGAUCAGUGUGCUGCCUCUGGUAAGAAUUGUAGUAUCAGAAAAUUAAGAACUUAAAAAAAAAACAGGAGUUGUAAUGAAGCUCUCUGAACUUCUUCAUGUUUAUGUCGUAAUAAAAGCUGGUAAAUAAAUUUGCUGCAUUAGCAGGGAAA